GGUGCCGCGGCUUUAUCUAAUUGUAGGACGUGCACUUCUUUUGCUACGUUACUUCACGUUGCGUGCAUUUUUCAACGAGCAGCGCUGUCAUAGGCGCAAUGCAAUGACGAACCUCUGGACCCUAACCUACCUCUCUGCCUAUGUUCGAGAGAAGUGGAAAUGAGUGACGACCAUUGCGAGGUAUCACCACGACGCAACGCCGGAACGCGACGAAGGCUGACGUCUUUUUUCACGGCCCUGACUUCCUGAUGACAGUAGUAGCCUUGAGUAGAGGCUCGAGAGAGAGUGGAGGAACCGACGCUGAGUCGAGCAGAACAAGCAGGCGUUACAACGUUACAACAUUACGACGAUGAAGAGGAGGAAUGCUGUCGAGUAAUAUAAAUUCAAUGAGAAAAUUACGUAUCUACUACUUUCUCCGUUUACCUGGAUUAUCGAACGGAAAUGGUUUGCGAGUAUUGGUUCUAAAGAACUACAUGUUUUUCUCCAUAUCGUACAUUUAUACUUGAAUUUUUCUCGUUUUUCGAAACUUCCGUGUCGUGUGAUAUAAAAUGUUCGCAGGAAAAUCGUGUGCUUUUUAUCCUUAAUAAUAGUAAUCUUGGCAAGGAAAUGUGAAAGGAAGGAACGUAACGUCGCAAUUACGUCUGUUGUUUCAAGCAAUCGUUGCGCUCGAGCUUCGUACGCAUCUGCGUAACAUUCCAGGGUAAUUGAAAUCCCUCUUGACGAAUGUUUAUGUAAUUUUCUCAUAAAUCAGAAGUAUCUCGAGCAACGGAGAUUAAAAAUACAUUAAGUAAUAUUAUAAACAUACCAUUUGGAGACUACAAGGGAAAGAUGCGAUAAGCCACACUUUCAACACGAUCUUUCUAUUUGAUUUUAUAAAAUUAAUUUGUUAACUAGGAAA